CAAACUUUGAAAAAACUGAAUAGGGUAGCUAUCUCCCUAUACAUCAGAAAAAGAGAAAAGAAUGAAAAAUCAAAACUUGUUUUUUGCCCUGUCCUGUGCAUGGUCUCUACCCCGAACUACAGCGAGGUGGGUCGGAGCUUUGGAUGGAAGGGAUUCCAGAGGGUCAAAAGAGGGAAGAUGGCUGGCAAUUGACACGUACGCCGGAUAGCGGCCCCGACAAUCAGUCCAUAACUGUGCUUUUAUGUGUCAGUUCACUGGAGACUAAUGCCAUCGCUAUCUGGAAUAUGCAAAAAUCAACUCCGGCAAGUGUUGCUCCAGCGUUUUCCAACCCUUCCGCCCCAGACCAGGCUCCAAAGUCGGCGGAUCGUGAUUUCUGCUCCUGGUUCGUACUUUUGCGCUGCCAAACAACCGGGAAACAAUAUGCAUGCUUGUUUUUUUCGUUCAUUCCAAAAUGCUCUUAAAAUCAAAAGCAGCAUUGCUGUUUUAAGAAUAUACUUGUAUGUAGUACUUAA
rnacentral:sRNA from 1 species